CCUACGGGUGUCAGCAGUGGGGAAUAUUGGACAAUGGGGGAAACCCUUAUCCAGCGACGCCGCGUGAGGGAAGAAGGUUUUCGGAUUGUAAACCUCUUUCAGUGGGGACGAUAAUGACGGUACCCACGGAGGAACCCACGGCUAACUACGUGCCAGCAGCCGCGGUAAUACGUAGGUGGCAAGCGUUGUCCGGAUUUAUUGGGUUUAAAGGGUGCGUAGGCGGAAUGCCAAGUCAGCGGUAAAAUCGCGGGGCUCAACCUCGCUCCGCCGGUGAAACUGGCGUUCUUGAGUGGGCGAGAAGUAUGCGGGAUGCGUGGUGUAGCGGUGAAAUGCAUAGAGAUCACGCAGAACUCCGAUUGCGAAGGCAGCAUACCGGCGCCCAACUGACGCUGAAGCACGAAAGCGUGGGUAUCGAACAGGAUUAGAUACCCGUUAGUC
rnacentral:rRNA from 1 species